rnacentral:lncRNA from 1 species
AGAAGGGAGAAGAGAGAUCGAGAAGGAUGAUCGAGAGAGAAAGAGACUGAGGAGCUCUCUGUGUGAGUGUGUGUGUGGAAGAAGAGAAGGGAGAAGAGAGAACGAGAAGGAUCGAGAGAGAGAGAGACUGAGGUUGUCUGCGUGCGUGCGUUGUGUGUGCAUGCAAUGUAUCUUUUGAGUGUGUGGGUUCCUCCUGUCAGGAGGAUACAACUCACUCAAUAAUCCCUGACAAGUUUUACAAUUAUUUGGACAUGAGACAAUUAUAAUUUGUAUUCUUUUCAGACCAUGAAUGGUGGUCAUUUGUGUGUGUGUGUGUGUGUGGGUUCCUCCUGUCAGGAGGACACAUGACUCACUCCAUAUUCUCGACAACACGAACAAUUAUUUGGACAAUUUCAUGCAGCUUUUACCAUUAUAAUUUGUAGUCUUUUCAAACCAUGGACGGUGGUUUCAUUCAAAACCGUGUGCCAAUAUUGUUUUAAAAGGUGGAGUUUCAGAGUUAUUGUGUUAUUCUUUCAAAGUUGUCAUUGUGAAAAAAUUUCAAGAGGUGGAGUAUCAGUAUCAGAGGAGCCUUUUCGAUUAUUUUAUUUCCCUUACCCCUUUCAAAGUCAUUCCAGAUCCAGAGCUUAAACACAAAGGGUUCCAUAUUUAAAGUAAGUUUACAAACUUAUAUAUUUAUAUUCUUAUAAUUUAUACAACAACAAUAAAAUUUGUGUGAACUCGUAUGUUAAUUUUUUUAAGUAAUUAAUACUUGCAUGUUAGUUUUUGUAAGUAAUUAAGUA